rnacentral:rRNA from 1 species
AAACUUUCAACAACGGAUCUCUUGGCUCUGGCAUCGAUGAAUAACGCAGCGAAAUGCGAUAAGUAAUGUGAAUUGCACAAUCCAGUGAAUCAUCGAAUCUUUGAACGCACAUUGCGCCCGCCAGCAUUCUGGCGGGCAUGCCUGUUCGAGCGUCAUUU